AUUGAACGCUGGCGGCAGGCUUAACACAUGCAAGUCGAGCGGAGUGAUGGUGCUUGCGCUAUCACUUAGCGGCGGACGGGUGAGUAAUGCUUAGGAAUCUGCCUAUUAGUGGGGGACAACAUCUCGAAAGGGAUGCUAAUACCGCAUACGUCCUACGGGAGAAAGCAGGGGAUCACUUGUGCCCUUGCGCUAAUAGAUGAGCCUAAGUCGGAUUAGCUAGUUGGUGGGGUAAAGGCCUACCAAGGCGACGACCUGUAGCGGGUCUGAGAGGAUGAUCCGCCACACUGGGACUGAGACACGGCCCAGACUCCUACGGGAGGCAGCAGUGGGGAAUAUUGGACAAUGGGGGGAACCCUGAUCCAGCCAUGCCGCGUGUGUGAAGAAGGCCUUAUGGUUGUAAAGCACUUUAAGCGAGGAGGAGGCUCUUUUGGUUAAUACCCAAGAUGAGUGGACGUUACUCGCAGAAUAAGCACCGGCUAACUCUGUGCCAGCCGCCGCGGUAA
rnacentral:rRNA from 1 species